rnacentral:rRNA from 1 species
UGGGGAAUUUUGGACAAUGGGGGCAACCCUGAUCCAGCCAUGCCGCGUGAGUGAAGAAGGCCUUCGGGUUGUAAAGCUCUUUCGGCGGGGACGAAACGGUCCGUGACAACACCACGGACUAAUGACAGUACUCGCAGAAGAAGCACCGGCUAACUACGUGCCAGCAGCCGCGGUAAUACGUAGGGUGCAGGCGUUAAUCGGAAUUACUGGGCGUAAAGCGUGCGCAGGCGGCUCCUUAAGUCAGAUGUGAAAUCCCCGGGCUUAACCUGGGAACUGCGUUUGAAACUGAGGGGCUAGAGUGUGGAAGAGGGGGGUGGAAUUCCAGGUGUAGCAGUGAAAUGCGUAGAGAUCUGGAGGAACACCGAUGGCGAAGGCAGCCCCCUGGGCUAACACUGACGCUCAUGCGCGAAAGCGUGGGGAGCAAACAGGAUUAGAUACCCCAGUAGUCCCUGAGCGGGCUGGCAAGGCGCAU